rnacentral:lncRNA from 1 species
AGAGCCUGCCACCACGUCCUGAACACAUACACAUCAAGCCACCUCGAGCUUCUCGGUCGAUUCGGCCGAUUUCGGCCUUUCCAGUGAAUUUUCGUCCCGCGAUCAAUCCCAAAUAUUUUUAUACGCCCGUUCUGAUGGCCUGAGUAUUUUUAAUAAAACCUACUGGGACUCUGAUCUUGAGGAAAAAUAUUUACCGAGCUUUUGGCUUCUUCGAAAAAUUUCGUAAUACCGAAAUUUAGGGUUGUUCGCCCAAUUUCCGGUCUUCCUGUUGUGCUUCCAAAAGUGUCUUGCUUCAACAUCAUUUGAAUCAAUCUACUACAUUGUCUAACCAUUUUCCAGUGGCAUACUUGACUCAUGGUUCAGACAAGAACAAUAUGAUCAUCCGCGACUCGAUCAUCCAAAAGAUACUCGACCAUUCUUUUUUUUUUUUUUUUUUUUAAGGGUUUCUACAGUGGGUGUCCGUCAGCAGACACAGAAUGUCCAUGGCUGUCUGUGGCUGUCCGUCAGCACACACAUGACAUCUGUGGCUGUCCGUGUGUGUCCGUGUGUGUCCGUCAGCAGACACAGGACGUCUGUGGCUGUCCAUCAGUACACAUAUCAGCACGCUGGUCCUUGGACUCAGCACGCUGGCCCUUCCCGUGGACUGUUCGGGUGAUUUUGGCCCACGUGGG